rnacentral:rRNA from 1 species
GUCUUCCUACGGGAGGCAGCAGUGGGGAAUAUUGCACAAUGGGGGAAACCCUGAUGCAGCAACGCCGCGUGGGUGAAGAAGGAUUUCGGUAUGUAAAGCCCUAUCAGCAGGGAAGAGAAUGACGGUACCUGACUAAGAAGCCCCGGCUAACUACGUGCCAGCAGCCGCGGAAAUACGUAGGGGGCAAGCGUUAUCCGGAUUUACUGGGUGUAAAGGGAGCGUAGACGGUUGUGCAAGUCUGAAGUGAAAACCCGCGGCUCAACUGCGGAACGGCUUGGGAAACU